UACGUAGGGGGCAAGCGUUGUCCGGAAUCAUUGGGCGUAAAGAGCGUGUAGGCGGCCCGGUAAGUCCGCUGUGAAAGCCCAGGGCUCAACCCUGGAAUGCCGGUGGAAACUGUCGGGCUAGAGUCCGGAAGAGGCGAGUGGAAUUCCUGGUGUAGCGGUGAAAUGCGCAGAUAUCAGGAGGAACACCAAUGGCGAAGGCAGCUCGCUGGGACGGUACUGACGCUGAGACGCGAAAGCGUGGGGAGCAAACAGG
rnacentral:rRNA from 1 species